ensembl:lncRNA
AUGGUCUGCAGAACCGAAAGCACAAAUAUCCACUUCCUCUUUUCGGUUCAUAUAAAUAGAAGAGCAACCCCUAGUUUUUCACUAAAACGACGAGGAGAAAAUAGUUCUUUUAAUUUACUCCAUUGUGUGCAACUUGCCCUAACCAUGUCUAUAAUGGACAGAGAUCUUGUUCUGGAGGCGCUCUCUACUCUCACAGGAAAAACUUUGAAGCCUCUCACUGGAUUAAAGGGAUCACUGAAUUCUGAUCUUGAACUCGAUAUAUACAAUUUUAUCACAGCUGCCGUAUUAAGCCAAGACAUCUUGAGAUUACUAGGUGUGAGAGAUGAUGUACUAAGCACUCUCAAGCACACAAGUUUGCGGAAAGAGAUGUUUGUGAACAUCGAUGAAUUCUUCGAGCCAAGCUUUGAUUGUGAUUUCAGAAAUUUAAGUGACAAGUCAAUAUGCAUGCGGGGUAAUGAGCAAUACAAACGCCCACGUGGAUGGUACCGUUUUGCUCUUAAUGUCCUGGACAAGUACCCUGAUGGAAACACCUGGCUGGGUACGGAUGGAUGGAGGAGUCACUCAGUGACUGGCAAGUACCCUGAUGGAAACGCCUGGCUGGGUCCGGAUGGAUGGAGGAGUCACUCAGUGACUGGCGAGUGGCCUGUCUCCUAUCAUGGAACCAGUGUUCAGGGUGCUACAGGUGUCGUCAAAUCUCAUUACAAAGCAGGUCCUAGACAACUGUACGGGAGAGGAAUCUAUUCAACAUAUGACAUCGAUCAGGCUUCUGGCUACAGCAAGGAAUUUACAUCCAAAAAGAACGGCAAAAGAUACAGAGUCCUGAUGCAGAACAGGAUCAAUCCAGUGAUGAGGAAAGUGUGUGCCAGAAAGGACUACUGGCUGAUUGAGGUUCCUGAGGGCACCUCUGCUGCUAAAGAGAAGGAGAUCGUGGAGAAGUCCAUUCGUCCUUAUGGGAUUCUGAUAAAGGAGGUGUGAGAGAAGAAUCAGAACCAGCUGACUGCCUCCACGUUAAUGUUACUCGGAUCGUCAUGAUGAUAAUUAUUAUUGUUGAUUUCUAUUGAAGACAUAUGGUGAAAAGAAUUGACUUGUUUUUGAUUUAUUGUGCUUUUUCUCAGCCAUAAAUGAAAUAGAUUAUGUAUCCCCAAUGGUAAAAACGGUUAUGAUAUAAAAUCAUAUCUCAUUUUUCAAGUUAUAAUGUAAGAGUUUAGUUUUCUUGAUUAAAUGUAAUAUCUAGACGGUAUGUAACACCCUCCAGGAAAAUUCUAAAUGUAGUUGAUAACUCGUUUUUAAUAACUGCUGUGUAACCUCAAAAGUGUAAAAACGUUUAAUUUGCUUCAUUGUGUAUAAUUGGAACUUGAUUUUUGUGUCCUUUUGAACUUGUCUAAAAUGAAACAUGUUUCCUAUAUUUUAACAAAAGUUUUAAAAAUAAAAGUGUUUUCUCACAGAAUGAGACUUUAUUC